UGGGGAAUAUUGCACAAUGGGGGGAACCCUGAUGCAGCCAUGCCGCGUGAAUGAAGAAGGCCUUCGGGUUGUAAAGUUCUUUCGGUGAUGAGGAAGGCAGGUAAGUUAAUAGCUUACUUGAUUGACGUUAGUCACAGAAGAAGCACCGGCUAACUCCGUGCCAGCAGCCGCGGUAAUACGGAGGGUGCGAGCGUUAAUCGGAAUGACUGGGCGUAAAGGGCACGCAGGCGGUGACUUAAGUGAGAUGUGAAAGCCCCGGGCUUAACCUGGGAAUUGCAUUUCAUACUGGGUCGCUAGAGUAUUUUAGGGAGGGGUAGAAUUCCACGUGUAGCGGUGAAAUGCGUAGAGAUGUGGAGGAAUACCGAAGGCGAAGGCAGCCCCUUGGGAAUAUACUGACGCUCAUGUGCGAAAGCGUGGGGAGCAAACAGG
rnacentral:rRNA from 1 species